GAAUGUAUUAUUGACAAACCUGGUUACCUCCAAUAUCAAAACAAAUACAAAUAAAGUAUAAAACUAGCAUUUCAAUGUCAAACUACUUAGAAUGGUUCACCAAACUUGAAAAAUAGAAAAUAAAACUAGAAAUAUGGAAGAAAUAACAAAUAACUCACAAAAUAUCCAAAUAACAUUCUUGGCUCCAAGAUAUGCUUUCAACCCAUUGAGUGUACAAUUGAAGCAAAAGAAUCAACUGCCAGUACAGAUACUCAGCUAGCGAAGCUGAAUAACUUAGAUUCUUCAACAGCCACAUCCACCAUUCUUGACGAACUUGCUAAGUUUUCACUCAAUCCUUCUUUAUCAACCAGAUGCUACAUCAUAACGAAGAAAUGCUAAGACACAAUAAUUGGCAAAAAAAAUAAAAAAAUAAAGCAUUAAAAUUAAAGCAAGCCUAUGCAGAGAGGUCACAUUUCAGUCACAUACUUUAGAAAUUGACCCAGACAAGAUACGUUCCCUUUAAUUUGCAAACCAUCUCCUAAUUACAUGAACUAUAAACCACGAUAUAGAAAUCUUCAAAUGUUAAAAAGAAACUUGUGAUCACAGCAUUAGAUACUCAAGUUCAAGUUCUUCGAAGGAGAAAAAAAUACAUCAAAAAACAUCAGCUUCAACAAAAAUAUUUCAAAUAUCUCAUAUUUACAAGGUAGAUGAUGCAAAAACAUCCAAGUAAUUCAAUUGGCACAAAUGUCCGUGACUACAAAUUUAUGGCAAAGUUUAAAUUGCAACAAGAUUGAUAGUCAUCUAAAUUUGAAAAGGGAUCAAUUGUGUUUUACUUUGUACAAGAACAAAAGCUAUAAUGCUUUGUUAUGCUCUGUUCACUCCAUUGUUAAUUGGGAGAUCUAAAGCAGAGGAAGGCAGAAAAAAGGUUUACUUGUAGUGUGAGUUUGAAUGACAUCGAGCGACCUAACACAAUCCUCUAGUCGAACCACAUGAGUUAAAGCCUAUUUUCCAAAGCAGUUCUUGAAAUUCCCUUAGAACCAUUAACUGCAACAGAACUCUACUCUUUGUAACAUCCAUGAUCAUAUCCUUCCCACUCGUUUGCCUUAAAUUUCGAGAUGCAAGCCCAAGUACCAAAAUAAAUAAUAUAAAAGAGAAGGAAUUAUACACUCAUAAAAAGUCACAGAUGAGCAGAAAAAAUCGGGCAGAAUAAUAAAAUGCAACCAAAAAAAAAAAUGUGAAGCAGCACUUGUUCAAAAAGUGAAAUCAGCACCAAUUAAUUGAGCGAAUUCUUUUUGAAACUCAAAAAUAGAUGCAGCAACAAGGGCAGGCAGUCAUCAACACCAAAAGAGGUGCAAUCACCUUCUCUUUAUAAAACUACACACAGCAACAUGAAACACUAAUCCACAGAACGAUGCUGAACAGGGAAAUAUGGCAGAAACAAAGAUGUAAGGAAUCAGAAAUUAGAGAAAUUAUUCUGAACACAAGGUGGAGGAGAAAAUUUCUCCAAAGUUCAAAUCUUUAAUAUUGACGCCGAAACUCCCAAAGACUUCCAUAUUGGUUCCUAAAUCAUGAUAAUCAAAACCCACAUCUGUGAAAUAAGCAUUAGUCCAAAAAAUUCUUAUCAUAGAUCAAUAAUUACUAGACGAGUACAUUCAAUGCAUGGUAAUUAAUCAACACGAGGAAAUAUUAUAAACCCAUUCUUCAGUCAAAUAUGCUCAUGGAGAAGACUUUCAGAUUUUCUUUCUUUUGUUAUUUUUCCAUCAAGCUUUCUUCAUAACAGAACCCCAAAGACACCAAUUAAAAAACCAGAAAAGCUUCUAAAAUAAAAAGGGCCAUAUGAUUGGCAAGCCAAAUCAAAUUGUUCAUUCACUGUUGGGGGAACUUCAGAAAUUACAGGGUAUUUUAAAGAAAUCCAUUGUACUUAUAUUGUGCAUCAGUAUAGAAGUCAUGGAAACUCCAUAAAACAUAACCUUAAAGUUCCUGUUUAUCAAUUUUUAAAGACCCAUCUGAGUUCAACUGCAAUUGGAUUCAUCCAUUAGACUACCUGCGUUCAACAUUGAUUUCCUUACAACGUCGUUUAAUUCAUUGACGAACUUAGCCCCCAUCAAAUUUCAAACCAAAAAUUCAAUUCUUUAAAUAACCGUAUAGGCAUUCAUCUUAAUCCCAUUAUGCUUAGCAUUGUUCCUUUUUAACCAUAAAAACCCAGUGGACCAACCCUCGUAAAACAAUUAGAAUGUUACCCUGUGAAUAAGAGGCAGAUUCAAUUCUCCGGUGCUAUUGGAAGAGAAGCCUGGGAUUCACAAACCUGUCGCCCUCCAAAACGGCACCGCUGCACUUGACGGCAUUUAUGCUUCCCGUUGCUUGUAGCAGCGACAAUGAGGUGCGGCGAGGGGCGGAGAGUAGCAUUAACGGGAGGCAGAGGCGAGAUUUUGUGGGGGUAGUGGCAGAGGCAUGAAUGUGAAUUCAAUUAUAG
rnacentral:lncRNA from 1 species